GAUUGAGGAUAUUUCAAGACAUGGCCCUCCUACAGGAUACAAUGAGGAUUCUUUCAAAAAGAACCAUGCAACAAUUAGAAAUUUGCUGUUUCUGCAGAAUCAAAAGGAGCAGGGACACCAGUAUUAAGUUUGCAAAGAACUAUAAAUGAAGGCAUGUUUUAUCUGGUGGAUUUUUUGAAGAGCAGGAUAGAUGGUAAUAUAUAUAAUAUAAAAUUGAGAAUGGAAAUGGGGAAAUUUGUGUCAAAGAGACAACAACCCGACCAUAGAACAGAUAACAGCAGAAGGUCACCAAUAGGUUUUCAAUGCAACGAGAAAUUCCCGUACCUGGAGACGUCCUUAAGUUGGCCCCUAAACAAAUAUAUAUACUUGUUCUAAAUAUACUUAUUUUUUUUAAUUUGAAGAGAGUAUAAAUUGGCUUUGAAAUAAAUGAAAUAUAUACAAUUGAAACUACAUUGUAUCUUACAAGAAUUAAGCCUCAGAUAUAAAAUUGAUUAAUGGAUUUGAAAUUUAUUCAUAUAAUUUUUCGUAUAUAAAUGACAGUGCAUCACAAGCUUCUAAAGGCUGGUUGGUAUAAUUAUACAUGUUAAUUGAAUGCAUAUGUAUAAAACUGCAAUAUAUUGUAUUUCAUAGAUAUAGGAAGAUGUGGUGUGAGUGCCAAUGAGACAACACUCCAUCAAAAUAACAAUUUAUAAAAGUAAACCAUUAUAGGUCAAUGUAUGGCCUUCAACACGGAGCCUUGGCUCACACCGAACAACAAGCUAUAAAGGGCCCCAAAAUUACUAGUGUAAACCAUUCAAAAGGGCAAACCAACGGUCUAAUGUAACAGUAAAUAUGGUCCGGUAGUAAAAUUUGUCCGCCAGACAUUUUUUCCUAGUUAAUCAAGUCCAUGUCUAUGAUUUUACUAGGAAAAGAAGUCCCAGGACAAAUAUUCAUAGGAAAAGAAGUCCAUAGCUAGUAAAAUAUGUCUGGCACUUAUUUUCCUAAGAAAAUUUGUCCCAAGACUUAUUUUUCUGUUAGUUUUCCUUAAAUUUCAAAAAUCAUUCAAAAUGAAAAAAAAGGAAAAAAAAUCUUAGUUAAGAUCGGAAAAUUUCAUUUAUUCCCUUAUUAAAAGAAAGGACAUGUACGUUAUAAGCUAGAUAUGUUUAAGACAUGGACAUGAUAUCCUUAUAAAAUUUAAUCUGGGACAUACAUUUAACUAAAAUAUUGAUACACAACUGAAAACAAUAUUAAAACAUAACAGUUAGAUUUACCUUUUAAAAUAAAGGGGAUGGACAUUUUUACCUAGGAAUAUUAAUGACAUGGACAUGAUUUACUAGGAAAAAUAGUCUGGAGAAAUGAAUGCUAUUUUAAAAAUAUUAAUGCUCAACUCUUUUAACAAUACUAAAACAUGAAUAUUGAGUUUCCAUUGUUUUUAAAAAAGAAAUUUAAAAUAAAGGACAUGGACAUUAUUACCUAGGAAUUUUAAUGACAUGGACAUGAUAUCCUGGGAAAAUUUGUCUGGGGACAUACAAUUUAUUAAAAAAAAAAUGAUACACCGAUCUAUAACAACAUUAAAACGUAAUAUUUAUAUCCAUCUUUUAGAAUUAAGAACAAGGACGUUUUUAUCUAGGGAUAUCAAGGACAUGGACAUGAUUUCCUAGGAAAAAUAAUCUUGGGACAUUAAUUUUAUCAAAAAUAUAAACAUGCAACUCUCAAUAUAAAAACAUAAAAUUUAAAUUUCCAUUGUUUAUAUGUAAUUGAAUUUAUUAUAGGAUUUUAUAGGACAUGAUUUCCUAGGUAAAAUAGUCUGGGGACAUAGAUUACUAACAUUGGACUAAAUAUACUACUAAAUUCUGUAAACCAUGGACUUUUUAUACGACCGCAAAAAUUUAAAUUUUUUGGUCGUAUAUUGCUAUCACGUUGGCGUCGUCGUCGUCGUCCGAAUACUUUUAGUUUUCGCACUCUAACUUUAGUAAAAGUGAAUAGAAAUCAAUGAAAUUUUAACACAACGUUUAUGACCACAAAAGGAAGGUUGGGAUUGAUUUUGGGAGUUUUGGUCCCAACAUUUUAGGAAUUAGGGGCCAAAAAGGGCCCAAAUAAGCAUUUUCUUGGUUUUCGCACUAUAACUUUAGUUUAAGUGAAUAGAAAUCUGUGAAAUUUUGACACAAGGUUUAUGACCUCAAAAGGACGGUUGGGAUUGAUUUUGGGAGUUUUGGUCCCAACAGUUUAGGAAUUAAGGGCCAAAAAAGGGCCCAAAUAAGCAUUAUUCUUGGUUUUCGCACAAUAACUUUAGUAUAAGUAAAUAGAAAUCAAUGAAAUUUAAACACAAGGUUUAGAACCACAAAAGGAAGGUUGGGAUUGAUUUUUGGAGUUGAGGUCACAACAGUUUAUGAAUUAGGGGCCAAAAAGGGGCCCAAAUAAGCAUUAUUUUUGGUUUUUGCACCAUAACUUUAGUAUUAGUAAAUAGAAAUCUAUGAAAUUUAAACACAAGGUUUAUGACCAUAAAAGGAAGGUUGGGUUUGGUUUUGGGAGUUUUGGUCCCAACAGUUUAGGAAUAAGGGGCCCAAAGGGUCCAAAUUGAAACUUUGUGUGAUUUCAUCAAAAAUUGAAUAAUUGGGGUUCUUUUGAUAUGCCGAAUCUAACUAUGUAUGUAGAUUCUUAAUUUAUGGGCCCGUUUUCAAAUUGGUCUACAUUAAGGUCCAAAGGGUCCAAAAUUAAACUAAGUUUGAUUUUAACAAAAAUUGAAUCCUUAGGGUUCUUUGAUAUGCUGAAUUUAAAAAUGUACUUAGAUAGAUUUUUAAUUAUUGGCCUAGUUUUCAAGUUGGUCCAAAUGGGGGUCCAAAAUUAAACUUUGUUUGAUUUCAUCAAAAAUUGAAUAAUGGGUUCUUUGAUAUGCCAAAUCUAACUGUGUAUGUAGAUUCUUAAUUUUUGGUCCAGUUUUCAAAUGGUCUACAUUAAGGUCCAAAGGGUCCAAAAUUAAAACUAAGUUUGAUUUUAACAAAAAUUUAAUUAUUGGCUUAUUUGAUAUGCUUUAUCUAAACAUGUACUUUGAUUUUUGAUUAUGGGCCCAGUUUUCAAGUUGGUCCAAAUCAGGAUUUCAUAUCAAGUAUUGUGCAAUAGCAAGAAAUUUUCAAUUGCACAGUAUUGCACAAUAGCAAGAAAUAUCUAAUUGCACAAUAUUGUGCAAUAGCAAUUAAUUUUCAAUUGGAAGUUAUCUUUCUUUGUAUAGAAUAGUAGUUGAUAAUAUAUGUUGGAAAUUUUCCAGACAUGACUAUGAUGUCAUUUUCUAUUUUUAUUUCUAUUUUUAUUUGCCAAUAACUUUAUGUAAAUAACUUCAUUGGAAAUAUGCCAAUAUAAAAUGUUGCUGAUGAAGCUUUUUUCCUUAUUUAUCUAAAAUGUUUUUAGAUAAUGUAUGUUGGACAUUUGCCAGACAUGACUAUGAUGUCAUUUUCUAUUUUUAUUUGCCAAUAACUUUAUGUAAAUAACUUUAUUGGAAAUUUGCCAAUAUAAAAUGUUGCUGAUGAAGUUUUUUUUCCCUUAUCUUAUCUAAAAUAUUUUAACUUAAAAGUUGUGUCCAUACUUGUUCUCAUUUCAGAUUUCAUAAAUAAAAAGAAUUUCUUUCAAACAUUUUUUGACAGGAUUAAAUUAACAACAUAGUGAAUUGCUCAAAGGCAAAAAAAAUUUUAAGUUCAUUAGACCACAUUCAUUCUGUGUCAGAAACCUAUGCUGUGUCAACUAUUUAAUUUUAGAUUUAAAUAAGUUUGAAGAAGAAAUCUUUAAUUGAUUUGUAAAAUAUUGACAUUUGUUUUGUGUAAAAAACCCAUAUAAUGUCAAAAAUUUGAUCACAAUCCAAAUUCAGAGCUGUAUCACGCUUAAAUGUUUUGUCCAUACCUGCCCCAACUGUUCAGGGAUCGACCUCUGCGGUCGUAUAAAGCUGCGCCCUGCAGAGCACCGGGUUAUACUAGUAAUAUUUGUCCGCCCAGACAUAUUUUACCAGGACAAAUUUAUCACUUACAAUUGUUCUAUAUAAAAAACGAGAAACGAGAAACAUGUAUAAAUUUAUUAUUACAUGAACGAACGACAACUACUGUACAUCAGAUUCCUGACUUAGGACAGGUGCAAACCUUUGCAGCAGGAUUAAACGUUUUAAUGGUACCAAACCUUCUCCCUUUUUCUCAUGUUUUCUGAAACAAUAGCAUAACAUCACAACAUAGAAAAAACAUAUGUACCAAGUUGUACUUUAAAAUGAAAAUAUCUAUCUAUCUAUAAAAGUAUAGAUAUAAAUAAAUAGCUUUCAAAACACAACACAAGGUCCAAGGUAAACAAAAUAGUAGACAAGAAUGCAAAUAAUAAUUUUAUGUCAAGUAACAUAAUAGAAUAAGAAUAAUAAUUCUAGUCUUCAUUCAUGUAUUCAAUUUCAGAAAUUUUCAAUGAUGGCAUCAAAUGAUUUAAAUUUAAUUUAUUUUCAAGCUUAUGUGUAUCCUGUUUUAUGCUCUUUGGUCAGGUUGUUGUUUCUUUGACACAUUCCCCAUUUUCAUUCUCAUUUUUAUCUUCAAAAUGAAAUCAGCAUGGCCACCUUUAUUAUUGAUUGAAUAGCUUAAAAUAUUUUUGUAAUUAGCCUUCUAAUUAUAAGUCAUUAGUUUGUUGACAAAUAGCAGGUUUAUUACAAUUUUCCUCCAACCUGUGCAGAAAGCUCAACAUAGGGAUAGUAAUAUCCUGGUGUGAUACCUAACUUCUUAAAAGCUUAAUUAUCAUAAGGUAAAACUUAAAAUACAAUCUGGUAUAAUUACAAAUAGGACUUCUUUUUACCAGAAACCAAUGGACAAAAAUGAAAGCAACUAGUUUUCAACAAUCAGUCCUACAAAAAUCUUAUACUAAGCUGUUUAAGAUUAUCUAAUAUAUUCAAACAAGUAAACUUCAAGAUGAAAAUUACAAAUAAUGCAGCGUUAUAAUCUGGAAUAUCACUUACAUAGUAAGUGAGUAAAUUUUAUUUAGAGUCAAGCAUGAUAUGUACAAUUCAACAAGGUAAACAUAUAUUCAAUGUCUUAACUAUGCAUAAAAAACAAUGGUGUGAAUGGUACUAUGAAAAAUUUCUCCUAAUUCUUAUAUUUUCAGGAAACAAGCGUCAACACUGUGUAUCAUCGCCACCGGAAAUUGGGUACUAACGAAGCGGAGAGAAAUAGAAAAAAGUAAAACAAUUGAGAAUUCAUUCAAUUUAAAGAAUUUCCACUCAUUUGAUGAGGGUGCCGCUUAAGAAAUGAUUUUUUGAUAUAUAAUUCUUUAAAUUAUUAGGCCGAUAAGUACAAAAUUAAUACAAGAUUUUGUGUAAUACUCCAAAACUUGUCACUUAGUACCAGAAAAUUUCGAGGUCGAUCGUCCUCUGUCGCCCCAUUCUCAAGAUAUUGAACUGUUUUUUCAUUAUUUUUCCAGACACGUUUUAGAUUAUUAUAGUGUGGCAUCAAUUUAUGAAUUUGUUUGUCAAAAAGGUGUAUUUUAAAGAAUAUAGACCAUAAAAAAUAAAGUCUAGGGUACAGCAACUUGCUCGUGUUGACAAAUUUACUGUAUGGCAACUUGUUUUCAACUGUAUGGCAACUUGCUAAUUUUAGAACAGUUAUUUACCGUCCUUUCAAAGAAAAAAAGUAUAAGUAAUAUCUAAGGUGGGGGGGGGGGAGGGGGGGGGGUACCCUUUAUGUUAUACUGUUUUUGUCCUUUUCAAGGUUUUAAUUUGUUAAAACUUUUAUUUGACUGAUAAAUUUUAAAAACUGUUACUGUUUUCGACCCCUGUCUGUAAUCUGUUUUGUUGUCGAGCCUGCAACUUUUGUGCAGAAAGCUCGACAUAGGGAUAGUGAUCCGGCGGCGGCGGCGGCAGCGGCGGCGGUGUUACCUAACUUCUUUAAAACUUUAUAUUUUAGAAGGUGGAAGUCCUGGAUGCUUCAUACUUUGUAUGUAGAUGCGUCAUGUUACGAAGUUUUUCUGUCAGUCACAUGUCCAAUGUCCUUGCCUCAUUUUCAUGGUUCAGUGACUCCUUGAAAAAAAAGUUUAAAUUUUUUGAAAAUGUUAAAUUCUCUCUUAAUAUAAGUAAUAGGAUAACUUAUUUAGUAUGUGCGUACGUUGCAAGGUCCUCAUGCCCGUCAGACAGUUUCAUUUGACCUCGACCUCAUUUCAUGAUAGUGAACAAGGUUAAUUUUGGUGGUCAAGUCCAUAUCAGAUACUAUAAGCUAUAAGUCUUGUAUAUUCGGUGUAUGGAAGGACUGUAAGGUACAUGUCCAACCGGCAGUGUCAUCUGACCUUGACCUCAUUUUCUGGUUCAGUGGUUAUUGUUAAGUUUUUGUGUUUUGUCUGUUUUUCUUAUCAUAUCAAUAGUCUUCUAUAUUUGGUGUAUGGAAGGAUGUAAGUGACAUGUCUGGCUGGCAGGUCAUCUGCUUGACCUCAUUUUUAGGUUCAGUGGUUAUUGUUAAUUUUGUGUUUUGGUUGUUUUUUCUUAUACUAUAUGCAAUAGGUCUUUCUAUAUUUGGGUGUAUGGAAGAUUGUAAGGUGUACAUGUCUAGCUGGCAGGUGCAUCUGACCUUGACCUCUUUUUCAUGGUGGGGUCAAAGUUAAAUUUUCGAGUUUUGGUCUUUUUCUAAUACUAUAAUGCAAUAUGUUAACUAUAUUUGGUGUUGAAAUAUUUUUUAUCUAUAUAUUAUGUGCAGUUUUAUUUGCCUUGACUAUUUUCACGGUUCAUUGCUCAGUGUUAUAUUUAAUGUUUUGGUCUGUUUUUCUUAAACUAUAAGCAGUGGUCAACUAUAUUUGUUGUAUGAAAGAAUAUUAGCUGUACAUGUUCUUUCUGAACGGUUUCAUCUGACUUGACCCUUAAUUUAUGGUUUAUUGGUCAAUGUUUGGCUUUCUUGGUUUAUGUGACAGUUGAAUAAGUUUUUAUUUAGGACUAUCAACAUACUAUCAAUAAUUAGUAAAGAAGGCGAGACAUUUCAGUGUGUGCACUCUUGUUAAAAUUUGUAAUGUUGUUAACUGGUUUAUUUGAAAUUGAGAUUCCUGUUAUCUGUUACUUAAUACUUAAAGUGUUCACUGUUUUGACAUUAUUUUUCUGUUAACUGAUCUAACUGUUAUUCAGAAUCACAUUAAAAUUUGCUGUCCAUCUCUUUUUUACGUUGCUUCCGCAAAGGAGUGACAUAUUCAGCAUAUAGUAACGUACAGUUUUAAAAAUUGAGUAUAGAAAUCCUUGAUAAAAUUGAGAAUGGAAAUGAGGAAAAUGUCAAAGAAAACAGAAUCCCGAUCAAAUAGAAGAAACAACCCAACGCAACGAGAAAAUUAUCACUAGGGUGGGUGUCAUUCACAGAUAGGAAAAAAACUUAGAAUUGAACACUCAUAAUUUUUAAACACCCUCUUUCCCUUCUUCCUAAUAAAUAAGGCUUACUAUUGAGUUAUGCAUGUAAAUAUUUAUGAAAGAAAUCGUCAUAGAUUUGAUUUCCAAUGUAAUAAUGGUGAAUAUAAUCUUUUUUUGUGUUAACCAUGGCAACAAUCAGCAUUUAUUUGAUACCAAAUAUUGAAAUAGGGGGUUGAACAUGUCACAAAGAUCUAAAAAAUUGGUCCAAAGGAAAAUUUAAUUUUAUCAAUAGAGUGAUACCUUUCCUGAAACCAUAGACAUAUAUCUAUCAAAAGGUAAAAAAAUCAUAUCAUUUCUGUUUUUUCCAUAAAAUUGAAUUGAAAAGAUCGAGCGUCAAAUCUUUGUUAAACAAUAUAAAAUUUCUAAAUCUAUGGCGGUACGGAUAGGAAACGUAGGACGUUCAAACUGAAAAAUGGCUUAUAAAAUAUUCUAAAAACAAUCUAAAUGUUCAUAUAAACCACUAGGAAGGCUAUAUAUUAUUCAACUAUCUAAAAUCAAUUCAUUGUACGAAAACUUUCAUAUUUAGAAAAUUCACCAUGGCCAUAAUGCGAAACAAAACUUGUAACUGUGUAUUGAUAUACCUGAAGCUGUCUCCUAAGUGGCAAUCAUUUAACUACAAAAAGGGGGUAGAAGUUCAAUCUUGUUAUUGAAACAUAUAAUGAACCAAAAAAAAAAUGAAAUAAAUACAAGACUAUAUACAAAUGUAGCAAAGGUUACGGACUAGUUGGGUCUUGCAGGUGCAACAAAUGGGCAGUGUUAAACAUGUUUAAGAUAUCUCAUGCCCCUCUUUAUACCAAUGUAGUUAUAUAUGCCUUCUAUUUGUAAUGUAUCCAAAACGUUUAAAGGAAAGGCCACUUCUUAUCCAGCUAAAACCCUGGUAGUCCUAUGAUGAAAAUAAUUCAGAUGUAUAUGGAAUGUUUGAUAAGUUAUAUUGACCCAGAGUAUUGGACGGAAUUGUGAAAAAUAAAGUACCUUUUCAAUUUGCAAUUAGUAAAAUAACUGAACAGUGUGGCCUGGUAGAAGAGCCGCAAUGAGGACUUGGUUCUCAAAUUGAUGUCAAAUUUGCUAGUCUAAGACUUCAGAAAUGUAAAGAUGGAACAAAGCUUUUUUUUUAUAUCAGCUCAGAUUUCUUAAUUGGGACUUGGGAGAUGAAAGAGCGCUUCAAUUUGUGACACCUUACAAUUUUUUUCUGAUUUAUACACUGGUUUUGAUGAUUUAAAAUAAAAAUCAGUAAACCUUCGUAAUUCCUUUUAAUAAAUCAUGUAAGCAUGAAGUCGUAUGAAUAACCCUGACUGAGAUAACCAUAAUUAUAAGACCCCCAUAAAAAAAAAUUUCGCACCCUAUAGUAUCACUCAUUCUAUCUGUUUGUUUACACUUUCCUACGUCAUGACGAUAACCCAAGUUUGCUACGACUGAUUGACAUAAAACAUUUACUCAACAAUAUACAUAACCAGAAGAAGCCUCCCAUUUGCUGUUUGAAGCAUUUUCGAUUAUUCAUGACAUAGUCCUUUUUCUUGGAGUCGAUCACUCCGUCUGAUUUUCCAUCCGUUCAAUUGUCUGUCCAUGUGUCAAUAAAAAAAUAUGGUACUUGCGUGUGUCUUCUGAAAAUUAGUCAGCUUUAUAAAAGAUUCCUUAUGGAGCUUGACAUUUCUGCGACUUUGUACAGUGGUUUUCAAACUUUUGAAUACAUUGAAGAUAUGCACUUCCCCUUUUCAUUGCUUUUGGUUCGUUUGGAAAAAAAGGUAAAUUACAGUUGCUGUUAACUCUUAUCAGCAUUUAAAGGAGUACCGGUAGGGCCGAUUUUGGCCCCAAACUUCAGUUUCAUCUAACGAGAUUUUAGGACACUUUUAAACACUUAAGUGUCUAUUUCAAUUGAUUCGAUUAGUUAUGUAAAAGAUUUUAACUGAUUCAGUCAUAAAAACGCUCCGAUUGAAGCUUAAAUAUGAAAAAUCUAUCAAAUAUGCCAAAAAACGUCACAUUUCAGAUGGUUUUUCGUCAAAAAUGAAAGUGGCCGCAUCCGUGUUCAUCCUCAACCUUUACAUGUAUAUAUGUUAUGUAUUAUCAUCAAAUACAACUUACAUUUCAAUAUUAUGAAUGACCACGAAUGCGGCCACUUUCAUUUAAGACGGAAACCGUCUAAUUUUACUAAAAUGCUAUAAUUGUGAGAUUUAGUAAUUUAGCAUGACUUUAUGAUGCUAGUAAACGAUAUAUGUGCAUUGUAUUAUCAAAACAGCACAUAUUUAUGUAGCGAAGCAUUCUACUUUCCAAAAUAGCGAACAGAUUACAUUUUCACAAUUUUGCAAAACUGCUUAAUUCUUGGGCCAAAAAGGGGUCUUACUGAACCUACUCCUUUGUUGUUAACUGUUUUUGACAAAAUCGAGGUGUUGUUAACAUGUUAACGGACCCCCCCCCCCCAAUCUAAUUAUGCAUUUGAUAAAAUGCAUUAGAUAGAAAUACCAUUUGCUUGACAGCGUUUAAGAUGUAUGCAAAUUAUAUAUUUCAGAAAGAAACCUGACAACAAAUUAAUUCGAAAAUGCAAUUCACAAUUUGUUAAUUUCUCCUUACUUUCGAUGAACAAAGUAUUUUUCUUAAUUUUGUCUGUCCGAAUUCUCGAUCCUGUGUUCGGUGGUUGUCGUUUCUUCAUCUCUGUCUUAUUUGUUGUUUUCAUAAAUUGUUUUGUUACACUGUAUAUGAGUUAGGCCGUUAGUUUUCUUGUUAUCCUUCCACAUUUUUCUGUCGGUACUUUUAUAGCCGACAUAAGGUACAAGUUUUCGUUGUUGAAGGCCGUACGAUAGCAUAUAAUGCUUGCAUACACUUUAUUUUCCUGAUGGAUAGUUUAUCUUAUUUGCUAUCAUACCACAUCCCAUGUUUUUAUCUAAAAAAAGCUAGCACCAAGAAAAGAUGAAUGGACGGUUAUUUUAUUGAACUACACAAUUUUAACUAACAACAAACAGGACAACAUCGUUAGUAGUAUAGAACGAUAUUAAAUGUAUUUAGAUAAUAUGGUUGAAAAAAAAACUUUUUGUACAAAAUCGAAAAGCGGUACGCAACGAGGCCUUCUGAACUGAUUAACGCAUAUAUUUAAAAUUUGAUAUGUAACAUUUUGUAUAUUUGUAAGCCUGUAAGCUUUGAUAUCAACAAAUAUCGUCACUUGAUAUUGUCUCAACAGUGUUAAUUUCCUCUUAAAAUUAUAUAUGUUGCAGACGCCGUACAGACAAAAGUUGUUGUUUUGCAAUUCGCGUACAACAAACAAAUGUUUUUGUCCAUAUUCUUUUAAAAAAACAUGUUUUGACAACAAAUUUCAGUAAAUAUGAUGCCACACAUAAUAAUCUAAAACGUGUCUGGAAAAAAUAAUUGAAAAACAGUUCAAUAUCUUGAAAAUGGGGCGACAGAGGACGAUCGACCUUGAAAUUUUCUUGUACUAAGUGGCAAGUUUUGGAGUAUUACACAAAAUCUUGUAUUUUUGUACUUAUCGCCCAAUAAUUUAAAGAGGUUAAUUAUCAGAAAAUCAUUUCUUAAGGGCACCCUCAUCAAAUGAGUGAAAUUCUUUAAAUUGAAUGAAUUCUAACUUGUUUACUUUUUUUUCUAUUUCUCUCCGCUUCGUUAGUACCCAAUUUCCAGUGGAGAUGAUACACAGUGGUCAAUUAAUGUGCAAAAUAUUGGUGAGCAGCAGCAGAUAAAAAAAUUUUGGGGUUUGGCAAAGGUUAAUGAACCAAAGAGAAGGACUGGCAGUGUCACAAUGCUCGAACGACACCAGAAUAAACAUCCUGUUCUUACAACCCAGAGUGAGGAUGUCAUACUGCAUGCUCUUAUAACAUUAAAUGUAGAAACAUAUGUAGAAAAUUAUAGCUUAACCAAAGGAAAUGCUGUAACAGCCCAAAACAAAGAUUUAAUACAUAAGGAUUGAGAUACUUGGAUGAAAAUAUGCAGGUAAACUGAUAUGGCAUGAUAGCAUUUUACAUUUGGAGAAAAAAAGGGAUAUAACAUACAAUCAUGAUUACUAUUCUGAAAAAAAUAUUCACUAUACCCAUUGUUUACCAUACAAAAUGCAAGAAUAGUAGAGCAUUUAUUGCCAAUCUUCAUCAAGAUUAAUGUCUGCAAUAUGUAGAAAAGCUUUUUUACUGUAAUGCUGAGUAGAACCUGGCUUUGAUUUUAUUUUAAAUUUUUGCUAUUUCAAACUAUGUCAAACUAGGUAAAAGUACUGGAAUUGAAAAGUACAUGAAAUGGAUCAAAUCAAGCAAAUGAUGUACUGGUAUAGUGAAGGGCAAAAUCAGUAAAAUAAAUUCUCCAUAAAUGUCAUAAUUCAAAUUUAUGGAAAACUUUUUUUUUUACUUUAUACUCAGGUUAAAACAGUGUAAAAAUACACAACAUUGAUUUGGUAUACCAAGGAAUGCAUUCCUCCUCCCAAAUAUAUGUUACAUAAAAAACUUCAUUGACCGAUCACAACCAUUGCUACAUUCACACUUCAAAGACAUGGCAUCAAUUAACACAUCAUAGAAUAUACAUCAGGGCCUGAAUUUUCUGCUCUCCCUUGACACCAUUUGCAAGUAUGUUCUUGAGGAAACAAUGAUAGUUCGUCGGAAGGGAACGAUAAAUGGCUGACCUGUGUUCAGAGAGCCAUAUCUCUUGCAUGUAAAAGACACCAUUGAAGAAUUAGUAGAAAAAAAGCAGGCUAAUGCCGCUACAAGGCAGCACUAGCAUCCGCAAAGUGGAAAGGGAAUAAUAUAAGUUGAAAAACUUGUUUCCAGAUCCACUAUAAAUAAAUAAGAUUAUACUAAACUUUCAUAGAAUUGACUAUUUUCUGACAUUAGUGAAAGAGAGGCGAAAGAUAACAAAGGGGCAUUCAAACUUAUCUGACAUGACUAAAAAGGAAAAAGAACAGCAAACAUACUGACAAAGAAAACAUCACACAUAACACAAUCAGGGUUUCCCCUGGCGAUCACCAUUUUUUCGCAAUUUGUGAAAAAAUCAUAAAUGUGGCGAUUAAAAUUCGUCAUUUGCGAAAGAAUUUGGCGAAAGAAAUAUAUAUAUAUAUAUACAAUUUUAAUAUUUUCUUCCAUUUUGUUUAUUUACUUUUUUCGUGUUUCUCAGACUUUAUCUGAUCAGACAAUACUUUGAAUUCACCUUGAACUCGUUAAGAUUUUGACAGAAAAUCAAUAAUCAGGUGAUUGCAUAUUAUAGCAAUCGACAACAAAGGACUAAUUAAUAAAUGUGUUAAUUGUAAUGUAUAACAAAAUGAUAUGGUUAAAUGGUGUCCUUCAUAUGUCACACAAAGAAUGUAUUAACCACUUUGUGACGCAAUUUUAUGACAUCUCCUCUCCUUUUAAUGAUAGUCCAGGAACGAACUGUUGUUAUGACGAAAGAUGCCCAAAACCAAGAAAAUCUCUGAUUAAAAACGUUAUCCUUUGACUUUGAUAUAGAUAAUUGAUUUAUUAUGAUGAUAAUAUUAUGGUGCUAUAUACUUACUCAUUGUACAUUCCUUUUAAACACAGUUGAAUUCUACCUGUUUUAAGCUUAUUAAAAUUUGGAAUGAAUUCACACUAAUUGGUCGCAUCAAGAUUGCACCAUAUUGUAGUUUUUAUGAGAAGAAUGGAGCAUCAUGUUAAUAUUCUUGGAACAUUGUUUUAUUUUUUGUUUGGUAUAUGCAUAAACAUGGAAAACUAGUUGAUUAAGAUUAUUAUUGACAUUUAGGUUUCACUUGUAUGACAGUCAUAUGAUUUGUAGUUUUAUAAUAUACAUUCACACGAAGUUACCCAUACAUGGAUUUUUCCCUUGUAAGUACAUGUUCAGUUAUGAUUUUGCUGUUGUAAAUUAAUCUUCAAACAUUUAAAAAAAGUCAAUUACUUUAUCUCCAUCAGACAAAGUCUGUCUGUCUGUCUGUCUGUCUGUCUGUCUGUCUGUCUGUCUGUCACAAAAAGUGUUUGCAUGUAAGAAAACAUUAAAAAAUAUACUGCACACACACACAUAAAACAUAUGUAAAACGGGUGAUUUUCAGGCAUUUUAAAAACGCAUGUUUUUCAGACCUUACGUUUUACAUCCGUUAUUAAACAGGCAUUUUACACCCGUUUUGGUACAGGCGUUAAACGCAUGUUUGCUAAAACAUGCGUUGCACUUUUUGCUUUGUAUAUUAUUUCAAUUUUGAAGAAAAUUUUUUUUUAUAAAAUUUGUUUGGAAAAUUUUGCUCUAGGCUUAUAAGAGCUGGUCAGAAGUCUACACUCAUUUAUCAGUAUCAUUAUACAAGUAAAUUUUAGGACGGGAUGUAAUUGCAAAAAAAAUUGUUGGGUUGCUGGAUAGCUUUCUAAUCCACAUGUUCUUAACAUCUAUUACACAUGUACAGACUAUUUGUAUUAAUUAUAUAUAUAUAGGAUACUAACAAUGAUCCUGUUAAGCAAUUUUUAAUGACGAGGCAUUUUAUAUUUCAGGUUAGUCUGUAAGGAUUGAGGCUAGAAAUAGAAAGAGCUGACUUUUAUGGUAGGAAUAAGUACAUAUAUUAAUGAACUUUUCAACUUAUAGUAGUCACUGUAGAUUUUUCAUGUUAUAAAGUAUAGAUAAUUUUGAAGUAUCAAGAUACAAAUAAGGAAAGUCAAAAAUUUAUAUUAUUUUUUUUGUUUACCCAAUUUGUUCUGUUAUUUAGGAAUUAAGAGAUGUAGCAUGAUUACCAAUGAGACAUUUAUCAACCAGAGACCAAAUGGCAGGGAUUUAAGCAACUAAAGAUCACGUUAAGGCCUUCACCAAUGAUCAAAAUCUAUACUGUAUAGUAAGCUAUUAAAGGCCCAACAUGACAAAAUGUGAAACAAUGAAAAUGAGAAAACCGAUGCCAGAGAUAUGAUGAAGACAUAAACUAAAAAAAUAAUAAAUAAUUUAUAGAAGCAAACAACAACUUUUUUUGCAUCUUUUUUGCCAACAAAGACUCAUAGUUAUUUGCAUAUUUGCAUAUAUUGUCUUGAUUGAAAGAUAAGUUUAAGAAUGUAUAUUUCUUUUUCAGAUAACUUUCACUGUGGCUGCAAGAAAUGAUAGUGUAAUAUAACUGUAGCAAUACAGAAUUUAAAGUGUAAUAUAACUGUAGCAAUAAAGAAUUUAAUUCAGAAUAUUUUUUGUGUAAGUUUGAAAAAAAAUAUUUAUAGUUUAAAAUGUAUGAAGAUUCUAUCCAUUUUCAGCAAGAUUAGAAGUUGUAUGUUAACAUGAAUUUGAAAUUAAAAAGUUUGUCUUUCCUUUUUCCAUAAGGACCAAUUUUACUUAAAUAUAUACUGUAGAUAUAUAAAAUUAAAUAUUGGUCCUUGUCUAGUCAAAACACUUCCAGUAUGUUAAGAAUGGACAAUCUAAAAAAAGUGCAUCUGACAUAUUUAUUUAAAAAACUUUAUUUCUAAUGACACAUGGACAAAAGAAAUGAGGACAGUAACAUUGGCAGCCAGGAAGCAGCUCCAUGGAAGAUGGUCAAAUAAAUCUUAAACAAAGUCUGAGCUCAAACAAAAUAAGAAAACAACUGUAUUUAAGCUAAUCAAUUUCUUCAUAUAUUUUCUAGAAAUAUUUGAUAAAAAUUGCAAAUUUAUAGACAACAAAAAGUAUACUUAUUUUCAGCAUGCAAAAGACCAUUGGAGAAUUAUUUUACCAGUAUAAUAUUUUGGAUAACAUGUACAUUACAAGAUUCUAUUAAAAUAGCAAAAGUAAAUCCUUAGGUAGGAAUAAAACUAACUCAAUCAUUGUCAAUUGACAACUUUUGAGUUCAAUGCAUUUCCGUCAAAAACUUUUAGUGAACAUCAUUCUUGCGUUUAGGGGCGUCGUCAGUUUCGUUCCAAAGUUGAGCAAGUGGUUGGAAAACUUGCACGAAUUAUUCGGCGAAUUGAAUUGUCAUAAUUGUCUUUCAGCAUUGCUGUCAUUAGGGAAUUGUGAUUAAGUACCUACAGAACAAGUAUUAUUUCUAGUUUAUCUGCACAAUGACGAUCACUAAGACGCUUGAUGAACGUUUAUAGUGCAAGGAUAAAGGCAAUUCCCUCUAUCUGGUAAAUGGCCUCAGAAAGGUGUGCAUAAUUGACAAGUUUUUAUGAUGACAGACAAACUCGAAAGUGGUCUAUUAACAGCAAGUUUUCUUCAUUCAAAGGGAGAUAACUAUAAAAUAUGCAGAUGAUAUUUGUGAAGUUGAAAUUCAAAUCAUUGACCUUUCACUUAUCUUAUGUUUUCCAUCUUAAAUAUUUAUUUUACAAACUGGUGUUGAUGUUACACUUAUGUGUACAUCUUGUAAGAAAUCAGAACGAUAUUUGGUUAAUUUUGUAUUGACAGAAAUGGAUUUCCGCUUAGCCUUAGAAAUGGAUUUGUAAAAUACAUAAUGUAUUCAUUUAAAUUCCUUUAUAGGUUCUUUCUGUGAGAUGUUUUCAUGGUGUUGGCAAAAGACUUUGUGGUCUAAUACAGAUAAAACAAAGGUAAGUACCA
rnacentral:lncRNA from 1 species